UUAUUGCGAGUGGUUCCUCGGGUCGGGGUUUGUUUCCGCGGUGAGUCGGACUCACUAAACCCCAACAGAUUGUACGUGACUGGGAGAUCAAGCUGAUAUGUUCAGGAUGUGGUUAGAUCAGAAGCAGGCUAACAUGAGAAAAUUUUCAUCGGUGUCCCUCAACGGAAUAUCACCGCUAUAUCCAUCCUCACCAUAUGGAAAAAACAACGGGUAUUGCAUAGCAAGGAAUACUGUGCAGAAUUCACUCUAUGGGAUUAAUGGAAUCUUGUGUACGUCAAUACACAAAUGUAUAUAUAAUGCCUUUUUUUUAGGAAAUAUAUAAUGCCUAAAUAUGUUUUAAGUUUGCUGUCAACUAUUUAUUUAUUUUUGUACAGAACUCAUUAUAUAUUCUACACGUACCUCAAACAAAGAAUUAUUUUUUGCAUUAACAUUUGGAGAACAAUUUUUUCAUGUGUAUUAUUUAAUUAUUCUUAUUACUAUUCAAUUCAAAUA